UACGAAGGGGGCUAGCGUUGCUCGGAAUCACUGGGCGUAAAGCGCACGUAGGCGGCUUUCUAAGUCAGGGGUGAAAUCCUGGAGCUCAACUCCAGAACUGCCUUUGAUACUGGAGAGCUUGAGUCCGGAAGAGGUGAGUGGAACUCCGAGUGUAGAGGUGAAAUUCGUAGAUAUUGGGAAGAACACCGGUGGCGAAGGCGGCUAUCUGGACCGACAUUGACGCUGAGGCGCGAAAGCGUGGGGAGCAAACAGGGAUUAAGAAACCC
rnacentral:rRNA from 1 species